AGGAUAAAAGUUUUUAAACAUUUAACUUGCACUUAAAAAAAAUUGAUCUAAUCAAUUUAUCUUA
rnacentral:tRNA from 1 species